CCAGUGAACAGUGCCUUCAUUUCUCGAAUUUCCUGCUUUCUGUCAACAUGCAUCACACAGUUACAUGCUCUUCCUGUGGUUGCAAUCAGUUUAUCUUUGCAUUCUGCUGUUUUAAAAUUUAACGCCCAUUUCUGUGGAUUGGCAUAGCCCACAUUCUUGUGAAUCACCCACAGUGAUUCCUGCAGUGUUGUCCCCAGCCUCAAGCCUCUCUGCACCGUAAUUGUGCUUCUUUUCCUCAGAUACCUGCCUUGCAUUGGCCCUGGGUAAAUGUUUCCCUUGGCUGUGAAUAGGCAAUUAAAAUUCUGAACCUUUUAUGGCUCUGGAAGCUUAUCCGAUGAAACAAUACUCAUCCAGGCGGAUGGCCCACCAGCGCAAAGGGCUGAGGCCGCUGUAAGCCAAGGUACGCAACGCUUGCUAAACAGGAAUCCCUGGAAUGAAUCCAUGCAUGAGGCCUUUGUGCCAUGUGACAGUUGAAGGCUGUGGUGACCCCGGAACCGUCCCACUCCGAGACGCCUUAACACCGUUUUUCUGCUGUUACAAACCACAGAGCAACGCGUGUGCCUCCUCCCGCCCUGGGGACUCUUUCUGUGGGAGAGGUGCCUGGAUUUAGAGGAGCGACCACUCUUCAUUUGUAGGUACUCUCCCUAGCCUGGGAGCCCUUCAGCUCCCACUCCAGAGUGGUUGUUGGUGGUAAUACGCCAGGCCUGGGGAAGCAGGAGUGGGAAGGUGUGAGAGGUGGGGGAGUGUGGUUGUCAACUGUUCUGAUUUUCCACCAGGAUCUUGGUCACUUUCCCAGUUGUCACUCGGCCCACAAACUAGGAUGUGAGCAGCAUAUUAAGAAUCUGCAGAGAUGUUCCCGUCUGCCCGGCAUAUGGAUGUCCUUCUGGGCUGCAAAGUGGCAUCCUGUGGGCAACUCCCCCCACAACAACCAGCUGUGAGCUGUGCCCAGGCACAGAGGGACCUGGCUUUCCCUGUUUCUGCAGAUGGAGCCCAGGGUUUCAGGGAGGGAGGGGGCAGGCUGGGACCUGUUGGGGAUCUGGGCACUUUCUCAUGCUCCUUGAGCUGCAAGUCAUAGAAGGAGUGGGGUGGGAGCUGGGAAUGUACCUUCCCAAGGCCACUGGCAGAACCAGCAGGCCCUUUGCUCUGGGAUGAGCUCCCUCUGAGGGGUGGGGACAGUAAAGCGGACCGAAGUCCCUGUUCUGCGGGAUGGAAACUGGCUCCCCUCCAUUGUACAGGCCAGCUCUGGGGAUUUGGGCAGCAGAUUUGGGGUUGACAGCAGAAUGACAUGAUCACCAGUUGACCUUGGCCAGGAUGCCAGCUUACUUUCUCGCUUACUUCUGCAGGUUCUUUGUUCUGCGG
rnacentral:lncRNA from 1 species